UACGUAGGGUGCGAGCGUUGUCCGGAAUUACUGGGCGUAAAGCGUGCGCAGGCGGUUAUGUAAGACAGAUGUGAAAUCCCCGGGCUCAACCUGGGAACUGCAUUUGUGACUGCAUAGCUAGAGUACGGUAGAGGGGGAUGGAAUUCCGCGUGUAGCAGUGAAAUGCGUAGAUAUGCGGAGGAACACCGAUGGCGAAGGCAAUCCCCUGGACCUGUACUGACGCUCAUGCACGAAAGCGUGGGGAGCAAACAGG
rnacentral:rRNA from 1 species